GAUGAACGCUGGCGGUAUGCCUAACACAUGCAAGUCGUACGAGAGUUUUUAACUCUAGUGGCGGACGGGUGAGUAACACGUGAGAAUUUGCCUUUAGGAGGGGGACAACAAUUGGAAACGAAUGCUAAUACCCCAUAUGCUUUCGAGUGAAAUGGAUUUUAUCCGCCUAGAGAGAAGCUCGCGGCUGAUUAGCUUGUUGGUAAGGUAAGAGCUUACCAAGGCGACGAUCAGUAUCUGGUUUGAGAGGACGAUCAGACACACUGGAACUGAGACACGGUCCAGACUCCUACGGGAGGCAGCAGUGGGGAAUUUUCCGCAAUGGGCGAAAGCCUGACGGAGCAAUACCGCGUGAGGGAAGAAUGCCUAUGGGUUGUAAACCUCUUUUUUCUAGGGAGGAAUCAAAUGACGUGUACCUGAAGAAUAAGCAUCGGCUAACUCCGUG
rnacentral:rRNA from 1 species